UAAAAGAAUGGUCACUCAUGCUUUCUCCUCUCAAUGUGAUGAGGUCAUGGGUUGGGAUAGUGGGUCUCUGACAGAGAUCUUCCAAGUUCCUGUGGGUGCUGCUAAAAUUUAUUCAGACACAUCAGCAUGGGAAGAGAUCUAAGGAAAAUUAUGGCACAUGGGUUCUCUAAGGGGUGGUGAAAGUCUUAUUUUCCUAACCUCCUCCUGAAAUCAACACUUACUUGGUGAUAAUCAGGAAGGACAUUUGAGUUUCCAACCAGCUGCCUUCAGUUAGAUCUGGUAUGAUCUAUUGACUCUCCUUCCCAUAGACACCUUUUCCAGGGCUGUGAUCUCCCACACACUGCUAUUUUGUAAAACUGCUGGACAUCUCAAGCACUUUAGAAAUGCAAUCCACCUCACUCUGGACCUGCUAAUUGCCAGCCACAUGAUUAUUAUGCUGCCAUUUGCUGUAAUGUUAUAUCACCAAACAGUUGCUGAUGGGAAGGUGGGAGGCAGGGAGAAUGAAAGACUGACUCAGGGCUGACAGCCGCUUUGCAGUUUGUAAAUCUAGAAUGUAACCGGAGGACUGAGAAACUAAGGAGCUGAAACUACCAUAAGGAAAGUUGUGUGCAUAUAUAUGAAUAGACUACUCAGCAUUCAAUUACUCAGUAUUUGCCACUGAAUAUGUGAACUGCCUUUGCUGGAAAAUAUUAUAUUUGAAGAAAUGUCUUGAUAGUGUGCACACGUCUUUAAACAUUAAAACAGCACAUACAGGGAAGUUAUUAUCUUCCCUUAUUAAAUUUCUAAGGUAUAUUUUUCACUACAGAAUUAGAACACAUUGAACCUACUAUAAUUGACAUAGAGGCAUCCUGAGGAAUCUUGGGGCUUCAUCUCAUGGCACUGAAGCAAAGGUGAUGGGUCCCUAUCAAACUAUGCUAUGUGCCACCUCUUCACAAUACAGUAAAUCCAUUCCCUGCUCUUGAAGGAAAAACGUGCCAAUAGCCCAGAUCACACCCCAGUCACAUCACUUAUCUCCUGUAAUGAGCCUGAUUUGCUUCCAUGCUAGUGUGCUGGCACUGAAGAGACAUCAGGGAAUGAGAUUGGCCUCCUCUGUCACUCUCCUCCAUCCCCCACCUAGUAAUUUGGUUAUGAUUUAAAAAUUUUUACUUAACUUAAACAUUGCUGAAAUUGCAAAGUUGCUCUUAUAAUUAUUAUUUUAAAAUUCUGGAGCAGCAGAACUGCAGGAGGUGAAAUUAUGCUGCUAACCAGAGGUAUAGCAGCAGGAUUAUGGAUUGGCAAAAUGUCACAGUUGUGCAACAAAUAUAGCGAGGUUCACAUCCUGGAAAGUUGCUACUAUCCCUAAUUGUUUGAAGACUGUGGGAUAACAGCUUCAUGUGAUAAAAUUUUUGAGAUUUGUAGUUUGGUCACUGGAGCUCCCCGUCUGAGAAUUCUACAUUUCUCACAAAACUAUGAAUCCUCCUUUUCACAGGAUAGCAUCAUUGCAGCUGAAGUUGUGACAAAGUGGUAUCAAAAUGUAAUAGGGAAGUGUGAAAGUUAAUUAUUUUCAAGGAAGCAAGCUGUUGAAAACCUGUGUUUGUAUUGGGCAUAAAUCAUAUAUAGGGACACUAAAGUAGCCACAUGUCUUACUUUACAGAAAAUACUCCUCUGUUUGAAAUUUGCAGGUUCAGUGUGUUAAGUGAUUUACUAAAUCAUGGGUUUGAAAGCUCAGUGCUCCAGCUACUCCAGAAGGCCAAAUGAGGACACAAAUGCAUAGAAGGCAAAAGCAGACGUCUUUUAUUCUCAAUGGCCAAAGAGGAUACCAGUAGAGCUUGUGCUCAAAAUACUGACAUACCCUAACUAUGAACACACGGGCUAUUUAUAGCAGUACAGGACAAUUGAAAAUAGCUGUGCUGGCUUCCCAUUGGUCUCAGAGGGUGCUGGCUAGCACCCGCAACCUCAUUGGAGUAGGUGUGAGUGUGUUUCUGCCACUGAGGCUACCAGAGGUGAGACAGAAAAUUUUAUAAAUUGUCAUUACGCAGGUUGACGUUUUCUGACUGUUGCUGGUUCCACCUCUCAUGGGCUUGUGUGAAGGAAAGAAUUUGAGGAAAUGGAUGCUAAUGAUGGUAGUUUUCCCAACUUGGAUGAAGACAAUGUUCUGUGCUGGUGAAACAAUGAAUAUUAACCUGCCUGAAGAGUUCCCAGGAAGAGAAUGAAAAGAGGGCAUUGGGCAUCUUCUGUGACCUCUGCUUUGCUCCAUUGUUAGGAUAUCUGUUAAGUGAACAUCAGCAUAGCCAAUGGGGAGCUGAACUAUGUGGAAGACCAAAGGUGGAAAACCAUGGCUCUCACCUCUGUUGGAGAGGAGCAAUAGUUAUCUCCUUGUACCACUUCUAAACAAGAAUAUCAGCGAGGGAUGAUCAGCUUCAGCCCAUCUGGACAGAAUGGCCUGUUUACGAGUCAACACAUUCCUCUGCCAUUGUCAAGCUGAUCUCCUUUCUCUACCUAAGUUCUCACUCCCUUUCCUUGCUGAGUUCUUGCUUUUGUGUUUGUAAGCCUAUGGGCUACGUGCCCAGGUAUCAUUGUGUUGAUAGAUGUGAACUGCUUUGGGAGGUAACCAUUGUCUGGAAAGUGGGAUAGAAACUUAAUCAACCCCCUCAUCCACCCUAUUUCUUUCUUGCACAGACCUGCUCUUGUCCUGGUAGAUGCCUAAAUAAAAUCAGCAAUGGAGCUGGAUAACCUGA